GAGGUAAAGGCAGAGGUCUCCAAGGUGGGUGCUGGACUGAAUUCUGGGAACAGGCCAAGGGCUGUGGCUACAUCAAUGGGAAAGAGAAGAGGGCCUGUGGCAUGCCUGGUGAGUGGGCCUGAGGCUCCCUCUAGGCACAAAAAGGGUGGGAGAUAGAGCUGAAGAUGGCCUGGCAUGUUUGAGGCCAGCAAGUUGGGGUUAAGUUGUUUGUUUUUCUCCUCUUUUAUUCCUCCCAGGUUUCUUUAUAACCUUUUCAAAAUUCAGGCAUCUAAACAGCCCUGGGGAUGAGAAGGACAUGGUGGCCAGUGUCCAUGAGCUUUAGGUACUCUUUUCCCUCUCACUGUCUAUGGUCUGAGGACUGCUUACAAAGUUGGACUGUGGCACGAAGGCCUCCUGAUUAAACCAACAAAGAGGCCGCCUCUCCAGAGCUCAGAAUUGCCCUGACAUGAAAAUAAUCAAAUUCUGACACUGCCAGGAUAAUUACUGUUUAAUUUCAAGUAUUUUAAAACGGAAAAUAUAGCCAUUCCUUCCUUUAUAACUCUGUAUUAUGGUCUAUUUGUAAUAAUUGUAAUAACAAUGCUUGGUGCAGAGACUGGAAAGGGGUAGGAAAGCCAAUAGUGGAGCAUCCUCAUGUUUCCCACAGUUUUGGACACAAAGAAGAAAUUCUCUUCUCUCCUGAUAAGCAGAGAUAAGCUUAUACUUAUUUCCGGAUCCCUAAGUCAUCUUUUUAGCCCUGCAAAUUUGCUGGUGAGCAGUUACAAUAAAGCUUCCUGGCAGUUCCUUCUACCAGAGUGUUAAAGUAAUCCAGGUAUUUGAAGGCACGAAAUGGAAUGACUUAAUCUCAUCUCUCAGUGGUUCAGAUGGAUGCGAAGGUCAUGGCUACAGCUACCUGGUCUAGGAGCGUGUACAUCAUGUAAACAUCCAGGUCAAGUGACAGAGCUCAGCUAAAAUCCAGAAGUCCACUGACACCAGAGUUAGUUUUCCAUGAAAGAAAUGCCUAUAAGAAACUGGACCAGGAUAAAGCAAAGAGUAAGGGGCAGGAAGAAAGCUUAUAAUUGCAUUACUGCAAUCUUCUGCAAAAUCAGACUUCUGCUUCUGUUCCACCUCUUUAAAGCUGAAAAUGCCUCAAGUUUCUUACUGAGAGACAUGAGUAAUUCCAUGAAUACUAAAUUCUUUGACAAUUUCCAGCAUGGUUUCAUCCAAGGUUAUGUGAUGAGGCUGCAUAAUAUAGGCUCUAUAUGUUUGGGUAUUUUAUGCGUGUAUGUAACUUUGUCACUUUGAUUUGCAAAAUGGAAAAUUCCCUGAAUGCCCACAGAAAAGUAUAAUGUAGCAUUUAGCAGGUCAACAAAAUGCACUCCCUUAUUCUUUGUCUCCGCCUCAUUCUCCAACACUUUAGUGCACUAAGUUGUAGUGACUGAAAUCAUUCUUGGUGAAUAAUGCUGGGCCACGCUGAAAAUUUGUGGCUGAGAGCUGGACCCUCGUCAUCGCCACGUACUCUGUCAAUGAGACAGGGUAACCCAUGGUUACUGAGCUCCGAUCAGUUAAGGGGCAGAGAGCCUCCGCUCCCCACUGCUCUAUAAAAGAGACCCAGCAAAGGGACCCUACCAGCUUCUAGCUCUCAGUCUGCGCGAGGGUGUAGGAAGGAAAGCCCAGGACCUCCGGAGCAGAGCACAGCAGCUGCAGAGGCAAGGCCAGCAUGUCGCCCAACUUCAAACUUCAGUGUCACUUCAUUCUCAUCUUCCUGACGGCUCUAAGAGGGGAAAGCCGGUACCUAGAGCUGAGGGAAGCGGCGGACUACGAUCCUUUCCUGCUCUUCAGCGCCAACCUGAAGCGGGAGCUGGCUGGGGAGCAGCCGUACCGCCGCGCUCUGCGGUGCCUGGACAUGCUGAGCCUCCAGGGCCAGUUCACCUUCACCGCCGACCGGCCGCAGCUGCACUGCGCAGCCUUCUUCAUCAGCGAGCCCGAGGAGUUCAUUACCAUCCACUACGACCAGGUCUCCAUCGACUGUCAGGGCGGCGACUUCCUGAAGGUAUUUGAUGGUUGGAUUCUCAAGGGGGAGAAGUUCCCCAGUUCCCAGGAUCAUCCUCUCCCCUCAGCUGAGCGGUACAUAGAUUUCUGUGAGAGUGGUCUUAGCAGGAGGAGCAUCAGAUCUUCCCAGAAUGUGGCCAUGAUCUUCUUCCGAGUCCAUGAACCAGGAAAUGGCUUCACAUUAACCAUAAAGACAGACCCCAACCUCUUUCCCUGCAAUGUCAUUUCUCAGACUCCAAAUGGAAAGUUUACCCUGGUAGUUCCACACCAGCAUCGAAACUGCAGCUUCUCCAUAAUUUAUCCUGUGGUGAUCAAAAUAUCUGAUCUUACCCUGGGACACGUAAAUGGUCUUCAGUUAAAGAAAUCCUCAGCAGGUUGCGAGGGAAUAGGAGACUUUGUGGAGCUGCUGGGAGGAACUGGAUUGGACCCUUCCAAGAUGACGCCUUUAGCUGAUCUCUGCUACCCCUUUCAUGGCCCGGCCCAGAUGAAAGUUGGCUGUGACAACACUGUGGUGCGCAUGGUCUCCAGUGGAAAACACGUAAAUCGUGUGACUUUUGAGUAUCGUCAGCUGGAACCGUACGAGCUGGAAAACCCAAAUGGAAACAGUAUCGGGGAAUUCUGUUUGUCUGGUCUUUGAAUGACCAACCCAGUGAUUUACAUGCUGAUAGCUAAUUUUGUUUAGGACCAGCCCAGAAUGCAAUCUUUCCUGUGUGGAAUGGAUGAGAUGAGAGAUGGAUGGGCCCAGCCUUAGAAGCAAGAUCUAGACCUAUAAGUAUAGUCAACAGAAUGGAGAGGGAAGAACCCAGACUUCAGGAACCCAGUGUAGAGGCCCUCAAUGGAUUGGAUCAUACCUCAACAUUGGGGUCCAGGACCAUCUGUUUUAUUGAGUCCACUGAUUCAAAUACUAAUCUCAUUUGGAAACACCCUCACAGAUGUACCCAGAAAUAUCUGGACACCUCAUGGCCUAAUCAAGUUAACACAUAAAAUUAACCAUCAUAAUAGAGAUGGGGGGUCUUGCUAUGUUGCCCAGUACGGUUUUGAACUCCUGGCCUCAAGCUAUCCUGCCUCCUCAGCCUCCACAAUAGCUGAGGUUUCAAGCAUGAGAUACUGUGCCUGGUCUGAGUAACCAAUUAAUGCCUACAAUAAAACUCCUGAAUGAAUAUUGGAACUACAGGUAAGGACAUAUGGGGAAACCAAGACAUACAGCAAGUGAAUAACACAGCUGGUGAGUGGCAGAGCUGGGCUUUCAACUCAGGCUCUGGGUCCCACGUCAUUGCUGUCUAUGCUAUGCUGCCUCUCCAAAGGGAUUGUUAAACUUUUCUUUUUCUUGUAAGUGAAUUAAAACCUUUUCCAUCUCUUUCCAUUCCCACUUAG